rnacentral:rRNA from 1 species
AGUGGCGGACGGGCGAGUAACGCGUGAGCAACCUGCCCUAUGCAGGGGGAUAACACCGGGAAACCGGUGCUAAUACCGCAUAAGACCACACUACCGCAUGGUAGAGUGGUAAAAGCUGAGGCGGCAUAGGAUGGGCUCGCGUCCAAUUAGCUAGGUGGUAGGGUAACGGCCUACCAAGGCGACGAUUGGUAGCCGAACUGAGAGGUUGGUCGGCCGCAUUGGGACUGAGACACGGCCCAGACUCCUACGGGAGGCAGCAGUGGGGAAUAUUGCGCAAUGGGGGAAACCCUGACGCAGCGACGCCGCGUGAAGGAAGAAGGCCUUCGGGUUGUAAACUUCUUUGAUCGGGGACGAAGAUGACGGUACCCGAGGAACAAGCCACGGCUAACUACGUGCCAGCAGCCGCGGUAAUACGUAGGUGGCGAGCGUUGUCCGGAAUUACUGGGUGUAAAGGGCGUGUAGGCGGGGCGCCAAGUCAGUGUGAAAUUCCGGGGCUUAACUCCGGGUAUGCACCUGAAACUGUCGUUCUUGAGUGAAGAAGAGGAAAGCGGAAUU